ACAAGCCCAGAGAGCCAGGAUGCAACCAGGAGGUGGCCCAAUUCAGUCCCUGUGACACCCCUCCCCCUAAGUGCUAUUAGUCCCACUUUGCUUCUACUGGCUAAAACUGAAAAACUCUGCCUUCGACCCCAGGCCCUGCUGAGAUUUCCCCCUAGGAGGCUAGAGCUGGGUUCUUUCGAGGCAGCUCUCAGCAGACCCGCACAUGGGGGGUGUCCCCAGCGCAGGGCCAAGGAUGAGGGCACUCACCUCUGGGAAGGCCCCUUUGGCGAAGACCAUCAUCAGUGACGUCUUCCCGCAGCCCCCGUCGCCCACCAGGACCACCUUGACCGAGUGCCCGCUCUGCGGCGCCUCUUCUCCCGCAACCUGGGACGCGUUCAUCCCUGGCUGGCGGACGGCGGUGCGCGGAGCAGCAGGCGGGCGCCCGCCCAAGGGUGGACGCUCCUGGGGUCCGGUCUCCUGGCGUCCUGUCUAGACACUCAAGAAAGACUUUUGCAGCACCUACUGCGUGCAGUCGCUGAGGCCGCAGGGGCAGUUGCAGAAACUGAGGCCCCGAGAGUACAGUGACUUCUCAUACUGCAGGCAGAGAGGUGGCUCAGGCAGGAGACGGAGGAGAAGGUGGCCUGGAGGGACGCGAGCCAACACUGGUGUCUGUGGAAUCUGUGCUGAUUUGCUUUGGAUCCACACAAGGAUCUGGACCUGGGCCACUGGGGACUUCUGGUUCCCUCAGAGUGGAUGGUCAGGGGAGCCUUCAUACGGCCUACUGGCUUCUGUUGGGCCUGGUCUCCUGGCCUCUUCUUGUGUCCACUGUAGUGGGCAGAGUCUGUGUUUGGGAUGGGGUAGUUUGUGUCUCUUCUAUUGUGUGACUGCUCACCAUGAUCCCCACGACCCCCAUGGUAAAGAUGGGAUGCUAUUUUUUCUCUCACCCUCAAAGUGAAACUCCUUCCCUGUCUGAGAGAGCCUCGCUGUUACCCCACCCCUCAGGGCUCCUUCCCAAGUUCAUCUGCCCGGGUUGUUACUCGGUGCCAGCAUGAGAGAGGGCAUCUUGGGUUCCUGGCAUCCUGAGUGCUAUGUCUUGUUAAUAUUAGCCUUGCCACCACAGGAACUAUCCCCUCAAGAUUUAUUAACAGCUGUCCUCUAGGAGAAUGGCAGAAGGGGAGUUGGCAAGUUCUGAAGCCCACAUCCUUCUGCAGGCCAAGGGACAUACUUCCUAAGGCUCUUCAAUACAGUAGGCUGGACAGAGGAUCCAAGAUGGCUGAUGAGAAAUCCCCCAGGAGGUGGGGCAGCCCUGGUGUUCACAGCUCCAGCUGGCUAUGGAGAGGGCAUCGCUGGAUAGAACUGAGAUGGUGCCAGGCUCCUGAGGCUCUGAUGCCCAACCUGGCCUGCUCUGGCUGUUAGUUUCGCCGGACUGGAUGCCACAUGGACACAGGCCUGCGUAGUGUGGCCAGCAUCUGGUUCCAAUGUGUGGUGCCCAUGCCACUGACCCCUGGCCCAAUGAUGACAUGGCCCACGUUGUCCCCACGGCCGUCGCUGCUGCUCUCAGCCACUGUCACCCGGAGAGACAGGUCCUGGGAAGAAGGUGACAUGAAAGAUUGGGACCAGGAGCAGCUAAAGGGUUCUCCCUGGCUCCAAGGCUCCAAGGCCCUGUGAGGUGCAUACAGCUAUUUGAAUCUUCCCAUCUGGCUUGGGAGGAGAGACUUGUCCUAGUUACUUCCAGAUGGAUAAGCCAGCUAUGAUGUGACCUCGCUAAGUGCUAAAAAGUGACAGUCCCAGCAGGAUUCAAAAUCCAUCUCUCAGUUCUCUGUCCCUCGACAUUUUUUUCUUUAAGAUUUAUUUUUGAGUUUGAAAAGAUGGGUCAGCAAUUAAACACACUUGCUGUUCUUGCAGAGAACCUUGGUUUGAGUCCCAGCAUCUGUACAUCGACUCAGUCACCUGAGGCUAUCUGAACUCUCUCUGUGGGCGUCUGGCAUGCAUGUUAUGCACAUACAUACAUGCAAGCAAAAUGCUCAAACACUUAAAAUAAUAAAAACCUUCAAAAGAU
rnacentral:lncRNA from 1 species